rnacentral:rRNA from 1 species
CCUACGGGAGGCAGCAGUAGGGAAUAUUGCUCAAUGGGGGACACCCUGAAGCAGCAACGCCGCGUGAAGGCUGAAGGUUUUCGGAUUGUAAACUCCUUUUGUUAGAGAAGAUAAUGACGGUAUCUAACGAAUAAGUACCGGCUAACUCCGUGCCAGCAGCCGCAGUAAUACGGGGGGUGCAAGAGUUACUCGGAAUCACUGGGCGUAAAGAGCGCGUAGGCGGGAUAGCAAGUCAGAUGUGAAAUCCUAUGGCUUAACCAUAGAACUGCAGUUGAAACUGUUAUUCUAGAGUAAGGGAGAGGUAGGUGGAAUUCUUGGUGUAGGGGUAAAAUCCGUAGAGAUCAAGAGGAAUACUCAUUGCGAAGGCGACCUGCUAGAACAUAACUGACGCUGAUGCACGAAGGCCAGGGGAGCGAAAGGGAUUAGAUACCCCAGUAGUC